AAUUGACGGGGACCCGCACAAGCGGUGGAGCAUGUGGUUUAAUUCGAAGACAACGCGAAGUAACCUUACCAGGUUCUUGACAUCCCGAUGCUUAUUUCUAGAGAUAGAAAGUUACUUCGGUACAUCGGUGACAGGUGGUGCAUGGUUGUCGUCAGCUCGUGUCGUGAGAUGUUGGGUUAAGUCCCGCAACGAGCGCAACCCCUAUUGUUAGUUGCCAUCAUUCAGUUGGGCACUCUAGCGAGACUGCCGGUAAUAAACCGGAGGAAGUGGGAUGACGUCAAAUCAUCAUGCCCCUUAUGACCUGGGCUACACACGUGCUACAAUGGUUGGUACAACGAGUUGCGAGUCGGUGACGGCGAGCUAAUCUCUUAAAGCCAAUCUCAGUUCGGAUUGUAGGCUGCAACUCGCCUACAUGAAGUCGGAAUCGCUAGUAAUCGCGGAUCAGCACGCCGCGGUGAAUACGUUCCCGGGCCUU
rnacentral:rRNA from 1 species